rnacentral:misc_RNA from 3 species
UACUCUCACACUCUCAAAUUAGAGAGCGGUGGACUUGGAUGUUGCCUGGUACUUGCUGUCAGGCUCGUCUAAAAUGAGUUAGUACGACUCCUAGUUAAACAUAGUACGGCGUUAUAACUAAACCCUCGCUGUUUUCUGUCUGAUUAGGAGCUCUGUGCUUCCAACCGUCUUCGGACAAUAUUUGAUA